UUUUUCCUUUUUUUUCUUUUUUCCUUUUUUUUUCUUUUAAAAUUUUCCAUUUUAAGUUGGUUAUUUCUGAUUUAUAUUUAAAAGCAAAUAAUAAUGAUAUGGUAGGAGAUACACACCAAACAGGAUGUGUAAAUUAUUAUAUAAUAAGUAUUGUGCAAUAGCAAGAAAUUUUCAAUUGCACAGUAUUGCACAAUAGCAAGAAAUCUUCAAUUGCACAGUAUUGCGCAAUAGCAAGAAAUCUUCAAUUGCACAGUAUUGCGCAAUAGCAAGAAAUAUCCAAUAGCACAAUAUUGCGCAAUAGCAAGAAAUUGUCAAUUGUACAGUAUUGCGCAAUAGCAAGAAAUAUUUAAUUGCACAAUAUUGUGCAAAAGAAGAUAAUUCGUAUAAAUUGCUUAUUUCUUCACCAAUUUCAAUGGGGUUUUAUUCUUGAAUUCUUGGGGUUCUUUAAUAUGCUAAAUCUAACCGUGUAUUUAGUUUUUGGAUUUUGGGCCCCGUUUUUAAAUUGGUCCACAUUGAGGUCCAAAGGGUCCAAAAUUAAACUUUGUUUGAUUUCAUCAAAAAUUGAAUUAUUGGGGUUCUUUGAUAUGCCGGAUCUAACCGUGUAUUUAGAUUCUUAAUUUUUGGUUCCGUUUUCAAAUUGGUCUACAUUAAGGUCAAAAGGGUCCAAAAUUAAACUUUGUUUGAUUUCAUCAAAAAUUGAAUUCUUGGGGUUCUUUGAUAUGCUGAAUCUAACCAUGUAUUUAGAUUUUGGAUAUUGGACCAUAAUAGGUGAAUGUCCAAUUUAAAAUUUUUAAGUUCUUAGACCACAUUCAUUCUGUGUCAGAAACCUAUGCUGUGUCAAAUAUUUAAUCACAAUCCAAAUGCAAAGCUGUAUCAAGCUUGAAUGUUGUGUCCAUACUUGCCCCAACUGUUCAGGGUUAGACCUCUGCGGUCGUAUCAAGCUGCGCCCUGCGGAGCAUUUUAUUUCAUCUACAGUUACUUUGAUUAGGACAUCUUGGAACAUUUUCAUGAAUAUAAUGACUAGUAACUUUUUUUAAUAAGAAAAACAUAAGAUCCUUUUUUCACACGACUAAAACCAGUUUCAUAGACCUUUGUUUUAAGUAGCAUUCAGAACAGUCUGAUCUUUCUGUCUAGGCAUUUCUUCUGCCUUAUCAAUUUUGUUCAUUUACAUGACUAAAACUUGAAUAAUAGAUAGGUGACCUUGUCUUUCUCUGAUUUGAUAAUGUCCAUUUUUCUACAGGUGAUUCUUAGAUGCAUAGUCGGACUUCGUUUAAAAUAUUAUGAAUAUCCCUAUGGUGUAUAAUUCAUCUUGGGAUGAAAAAAACCUAAGUGAAUUUGAGGUAACUCUGUCAAAGGUCAAUACCUCAAGCAUUUUAUAGACUGAAAUUUUAGCAAUUGAAAUAUUGGUUUUCAGAUAAUUUUAAUUGAACCAUACAACCAAUCAAUAAUAUCAAAGUCAGUUUGACAUCGUAACUUGGGGAAUUGAAAAAAAUGAUAAACGUUUGUUUUCUAUUGAAAAAGCUGCUUUUUCUAAUCCGUGGCUUUUACAGAUGAUCUUUUAAUUAUAAUAAUGAUAACAUCAACAUUGUUUUAUUCAUUUUCUUCUCUGAUGUUGAUUUGUUGACAAUGGGCAAUAUCCCAAAACACUCUUUGGUGCUACAUGAAUUUUCGUUUUGAGUAGCACACAAAUAGUAAAAGGUGGAAUUAUUAGAAAAAAUUACAUCAUGUCAUGCAUGAACACUUGAAGAUUCAGCACAUACUGUUGCUAACCAUCCCCCUAUCAUUUUUUUCACAUGCAGUUGUUGUAUCUACCAUUCAGAAGCACAUUAAAUUUUGAAAUAUCAAAACCUUAACUCCAGCUGGUGUUGUAUUAUUUUAUAGAAUGGACAGUGUAUGUUAAUUUAAGAUAAAAAAAAAAACUUGCCAUAAAUCAGUGAAAAAAAAACAUUUCCUAGGAAAAACAGUGCUUCAAUUGCAAGAUAUAGUAGUAAAUCACACAAAACAUUACAGAAACUACAGUUAAUUAACAAAUGCAAUUAAUGCAGUACAAUAAAUCAAAUAGCAGAUAUGAUAAUGCUUAUUAAGAAAUUAAAACACAUGUUGACAAUUAAAUGAUAAAACAAUUGAUCAUUUCAAAUGUAAUGGAACAUAAUGAUUAUAAAGUCUUCAGUAUUUAUAUUUACCUCAGCAUUUGGUCUUGGUAAAUAUAACAUUUUGGCUUAAUUAUUUUUCCACUGAUGUCCAUGUCAUUAAUUGUGAAGUGAAAUGGUUAAUAUUUUUUUUAAAACUUCCUGUGGCAUUACACUUACAAUGAUGACAAAGUUCUAGUCUUCAUAUCAUUUGAUCUCUGGUAUACUCUGAUUCUUAUCAUCGAACACAUAUAUGCAUACUUACUUAUAUAUAAAGAAAUGCUUAGUUCAGUCACUAUCAAAGUUUUCAGCAUAAAUUAAUUCUGUAUCAUAUUGUUAAUUCUAUAUAUGAAGCCAUCUACAGAAUUAAUGAUGUCACAAAAAAAGUUGGUGAAGGGUAACUUUCAGGCUUUAGUGUUCCAAAGUGUUUUGAAGCUCUAAUUUCAUGCUUUUCAUUCUAGAAGGCUUUGAUUCAAUGUGUAUUAUGUCCUGGAUGUUUAAAAAUGCAGUUUUAAAUGCAUCAAAAAUAGUUUUUUUCUGAUGCCUGCAUCUUAAAUACGUAUUGUGACAUUUGACUGUAGAUAUCCGUUAUUAGUUUAGGAUUGUUCCAGAAUAAAAUGCAUGGGGCAUGGGAAGAUUUUUAUAGACCUGAUCAUCAGUAAAAUAAAAAAAUAAUUUUUCCUUCAAUUCUUACAAAAUUCAAAGUAAAAUGUAACCACCCACAUAUUUGAUUAAUUUGAGUGCCUCAUCCCGACCCCCCUACAGACUGAUAAACUUUGGAACAACCCUAAUAUCAAAGUAGGACAAAUUUAAUUAUAUUCUGUUUAAGACUUUAUUUGUGUUUUUUUUUAAUCAAAUACAAAUACAGAUGGUUCACACUGCCAUUACUUGUAAUUUAAAGUUUUUCAUCUGUUUGAUAUUUCAAUACUAUAAAGAAUUCUUUCAUAGAUUUUGAUACAACUAUCCAUGGCACUACAUAUACAUAAAGGUUUGGAUUCUAGUAUGAUAUAUUUGAUGUGGCACUAAUGGUUUAUAAGAUACAAUGAAUUCAAAUGUAGCCAACAUCCAUUAUUUUUUUUUUAAGUCUGAUUUGUAGAGUUGAGCCUCUUUUUCUUUGAAGUCUUUAUGAAAUCUCCAGCUUUUAAUAUUCUCUCAUAAAAUUGAAUAUAGUCUUAUAUAUAAAGGGUGAUUGAGUUAAAUUUUGUUUUAAUUUGAAUUUGUAACUUUACAUCUGAUUUUGAAUGCAACUAUUUUGUAUUUUGGUUCAUCUUGUGCAAAGUAACUAUGGAUUAUGCUAAAUGAAGAUGAGAUGGAUGAAAUGAACCCAAAGAUCAUUUGUUAUGUUGUAUUUAUUUGAAUUCCUCGAAUUUAUUACCCCCUAUUGGGAAACUAAACUGCCUAAGUAUGUAAAAAAACUGUACACUUUAUAGUAUGGGUAUUAAUCUCAUAGUCAUAUCCCCUACUUCCUUUUUGUAACCACACACUCAGUAGUUCAGUCUUAAAGUAAUCUGAUUGAAAUACAGAUCCUGAGUACAAGAUUUGCUGACAAGGUUCUGAAAACCCUCCAUUCUUUCUAUUUAAAAGACCAUCCAUGAUCCUAUAGUUUUGUUGAAUUAAUACACACCUUCAAAAAUUUGAAGGUUGAAAUUCCUUUGGCUAAUGUAUUAAAUACCAGAACAGAAAGUAAAACGGAGUGUUGACAGAUCCUUGUAUGCAAAGCGUGGACAUAUGAUCUGUAUUUUAAUCAGAUUGGCCUCAAAAAGACAUAGUUUUUUUGCUUGUGAGAGAACUGUCAACAUUUCCAUUAUAUGUUAUUUGGUCUUGUGUGGAGAGUUGGUCUCAUUGGCAAUCAUACCACAUCUUCUUAUUUUUAUAUACAAUGAUUCAUUAUGAAAUUGUAUUACUAACAUUUUUGUUCAUUUCUUAUAACAUUUUCAUCUAUCUUUUUUGUAUAGAACCUAAUAAAUAAUUAGCCAUUAGAACAAUAUUUAGUGAUGAUGUGGAUGUUUCUUAAAGUUACAAAAUGUUAACCAGUAUUUAUUUAAAAGAUAUUGAUCAUGUUCAUAAACAGUGCAUUUGAAUUUCAUUAAGGUCAUUGUCAUUUCAAAUGUGAAAAAAAUAAAUAAUAACAAAUAUAUUUUGAGUUGUUUCAUUGUACUUAGAACAAUGCAAGAAGACAUUUUGGAAUGUUAAAUGAACAUACAUUAAUUUAACUAAGUUUUUGUAUAGAUGUGAAAAACAUUUCUUUCUUUCUAUUUCGUACAAUUUAUUGAAUCUUGAUUGCAGGUUUUAUACAAAUUUCCAGUGGAUGGAUUAACUAAAUGGCUUUUUUGGGGAAAAGAACACUUUCAAAUCUUCUUAAGACAUACACAAGUACCAUCAGCCAAAAUUAUCGAAAUUUUUAAGUUUCAAUAGUGAAACUGUAACAUUUUUGAGCUUUAUUACUUCAAUAUUCCAAGCCUCAUCUUGACGCUUUUAAAUUUAUUUGUAGCUAGGAAAAGCAGUGCUUCAAUUGCAAGAAAUAAUAGCAAAUCACACAUAACAUUGCAGAAACUACAGUAAACUAACAAAUGUAAUUAAUGCAGUAUAAUAAAUCAAAUAGCAGCGUCAUGAUGAUUCUUAUUAAGAAAUUAAAACACAUGUUGACAAUUUAAUGAUGAAACAAUUGAUCAUUUCAAAUUUUAUGGAACAUAAUAAUUAUAAACACUCGGUAUUCAUAUUUACCUCAGCCUUUGGUCUUGGUAAACAUAACAUUUUGGCUGAAUUAUUUUUCCACUGAUUUCUAUGUCAUUAAUUGUAUAGUGACAUGGUUAAUAUUUUUCUAAAACUUCCUGUGGCAUUACACUUACACUGAAGACACAAUUCUAGUCUUCAUAUCAUUUGAUCUCUGGUAUACUCUUGAUUCUUAUCAUUGAGCACAUAUAUGCAUACUCACUUAUUGUAAAUAUGCUUAUAACGAAAUGCUUAGUUCAAUCACUAUCAAAGAUUUUAACAUAAAUUAAUUCUCUGUAUCAUAUUGAUAAUUAUAUAUAUAAAGCCAUCUACAGAAUUAACGAUAUCACAAAAAAGUUGGUGAAGGGUAACUCUUAGGCUUAAGUGUUCCAAAGUGUUUUGAUGCUCUUAUUUCAUGCUUUUCAUUCCAGAAGGCUUUAUCACAAUGUGUAUUAUGUCCUGGAUAUUCAAAAAUGCAUCAUAAGUAGUUUAUUCUGAUGCCUGCAUCUCAAAUAUGUUUUAUGACAUUUGACUGUAGAUAUCCAUUAUUAGUUAAGGACUGUUCUAGAAUAAAAUGCAUGGGGCAUGGGAAGAUUUUUGAAGACCUGAUCAUCCAAAGAAUAAAAAUUUAAUUUUGACAACAAUACUUACAAAAUUCGUAGGAAAAUGUAACCAUCUGCAUAUUUGAUUAAUUUGAGUGCUUCGUCCCCAUCCCCAACAGACUGAUAAACUUUGGAACAACCCUAAUAUUAAAGUAGGACAAAUAUAAUUAUAUUCUGGUUAAGACCUUAUUUGUGUUGUUUUUAUCAAAUACCAAUACAGAUAGUUCACACUGCCAUUACUUGUAAUUUAAAGUUUUUCAUCUGUUUGACAUUUCAAUACUACAAAGAAUUCCUUUAUAUAUUUUGAUACAACUAUCAAUAGCACUACAUAAAAGGUUGGAUUCUAGUAUGAUAUGUUUGAUAUGUUUGAUGUGGCAUUAACGGUUUAUAAGAUAUAAUGAAUUCAAAUGUCGCCAACAUCCAAUAUUUCUCGUAUUUUUUUUUAAAGUCUGAUUUGUUGUGUUGAGCCUCUUUUUCAUUGAAGUCUUUAUGAAAUCUCCAGCUUUUGAUAUUCUCUAAUAAAAUUGAAUAUAGUCUAAUAUAUAAAGGGUGAUUGAUUUAAAUUUUUUUUUCAAUUUGAGUUUGUAACUUUACAUCUGAUUUUAAAUGCAACUAUUUUGUAUUUUGGUUCAUCUUGUGCAAAGUAAUUAUGGAUUAUAAUAAUUAAAUGAAGAUGAGAUGGAUAAAAUGAACUCAAAGAUCAUUUGUUAUCUUGUAUUGAUUUGAAUUCAUUGAAACUUAACUGCCUACAUAUUAAAAAAGCAGUACACAUUAUAGUAUGGGUAUUAAUCUCAUAGUCAUAUCCCCUACUUCCUUUUUGUAACCACACAAUCAGUAGUUCAGCCUUAAAAUAUUCUGAUUAUAAUACAGAUCUUGUGCCCUAAUUUUGCUCACAAGGAUCUGAAAACGCUCCAUACUUUCUGUUCAAAGACAUUACAGGAUCCUAUAGUUUUGUCAGAUUAAAACACACCUUCAAAAAUUAAAGGCUGAAAUUUCAUUGGCCGAUGUAAUAAAUACCAAAAUAGAAAGUAAAAUGGAGUGUUGUCAGAUUCUUGUGAGCAAAGCUUGGACACAUGAUCCGUAUCUUAAUCAGAUUGGCCUUAAAAAGACAUACAAUGAUUCACUAUAGAUUUGUAUUACUAACAUUUCUGUUUAUUCCUUAUAAUAUUUUCAUUUCUCUUUUUUGUAUAGAACCUAAUAAAUAAUUAGCCAUUAGAACAAUAUUUAUUGAUGAUGUGAAUGUUUCUUAAAGUUACAAAAUGUAUACCAGUAUUUAUUUGAUAGAUAUUGAUCAUGUUCAUAUACAAUGUACUUGAAUUUCAUUAAGGUCAUUGUCAUUUCAAAUGUGAAAAAAAUAAAUAAUAACAAAACAUA